rnacentral:rRNA from 1 species
AUUUAUGAGUAAAACGAAAAUAAGAAAAUUUGUUUGAAGAUUGGAGAACCACCUUCAAAAUUAAAAAACUUUUAAUUAACCGAUAGUGGACAAGUACUGUAAAGGAAAGGUGAAAUAGUAAUGCGUUUAAGCGCUGUGAAAUAGUCUUGAAAUUUAAUAUAUAUUUAUCAGUAUAGUAGAUUAUUAUUUAAUCGAAGUAUGCGUACCUUUUGCAUAAUGGACCAGUGAGUUUUUUUUAUUAGCAAGCUUAAUUUAUAAAAAGAAAUAAAAUAGGCAAAGUGAAAGCAAAAUUAAAAAGAUUUAUAGUUAAUAAAAAAAGACCCGAAACUAAGUGAGCUAGCCAUAAACAAGUUGAAAAAUUUUUAUAAAAUUUGGAGGACUGAACUCGUGUAUGUUG